GGGUCUGUAGUCUAGCUUGGAUAGGACAGGGGCCUCCGGAGCCUCUAACUCGGGUUCAAAUCCCGGCAGAUCCG
rnacentral:tRNA from 1 species